GAAAUGCGAUAAGUAGUGUGAAUUGCAGAAUUCAGUGAAUCAUCGAAUCUUUGAACGAACAUUGCGCCCCUUGGUAUUCCAUGGGGCAUGCCUGUUCGAGCGUCAUUUGUACCUUCAAGCUUUGCUUGGUGUUGGGUGUUUGUCCCGUCUCCGCGCGUGGACUCGCCCCAAAGUGAUUGGCAGCCGGCGUACUGGUCCCGGAGCGCAGCACAUGUCGCGCAAACGAGUGCCUUGGUACGGCGGCGUCCAUAAGCCCCUCUCUCACGCUCUUGACCUCGGAUCAGGUAGGGAUACCCGCUGAACUUAAGC
rnacentral:misc_RNA from 1 species